rnacentral:rRNA from 1 species
ACGCUCGACACCUACGGGAGUCAGCAGUGGGGAAUAUUGCACAAUGGGGGAAACCCUGAUGCAGCGACGCCGCGUGGAGGAAGAAGGUCUUCGGAUUGUAAACUCCUGUUGUUGGGGAAAAAGAGGAUGGUACCCAACAAGGAAGUGACGGCUAACUACGUGCCGCAGCCGCGGUAAUCUGAGCGGGCUGGCAAGGC